rnacentral:rRNA from 1 species
UACGUAGGGUGCAAGCGUUGUUCGGAAUCAUUGGGCGUAAAGCGCGUGUAGGCGGUUAGUUAAGUCGGGUGUGAAAUCCCUCGGCUCAACCGAGGAAGUGCACUCGAAACUAACUAGCUAGAAGAUGGUAGAGGAAGGUGGAAUUCCAAGUGUAGAGGUGAAAUUCGUAGAUAUUUGGAGGAAUACCGGUGGCGAAGGCGGCCUUCUGGGCCAUUCUUGACGCUGAGACGCGAAAGCGUGGGUAGCAAACAGG